AUACGGAGGGUGCAAGCGUUACUCGGAAUCACUGGGCGUAAAGCGCGCGCAGGCGGGCUGAUAAGUUGGAUGUGAAAGCCUACGGCUCAACCGUAGAACUGCAUCCAAAACUGUCAGUCUAGAGUCUGGGAGGGGAAGAUGGAAUUAGUUGUGUAGGGGUAAAAUCCGUAGAGAUAACUAGGAAUACCAAAAGCGAAGGCGAUCUUCUGGAACAGUACUGACGCUGAGGCGCGAAAGCGUGGGGAACAAACAGGAUUAGAUACCCUAGUAGUCC
rnacentral:rRNA from 1 species